rnacentral:rRNA from 1 species
AGUCUAUUUAGAGGAACCUGUUUUUUAAUCGAUAAUCCACGAUGGACCUAACUUAAAUUUGUUUUCAGUUUAUAUACCGUCGUUAUUAGAAUAUUUUAAAAGAAAGUUAAUUUUCUUAAAUUUUAAAUAGAAAAUAUAUCAGAUCAAGGUGUAGCUUAUAUUUAAGGUUAAAUGGGUUACAAUAAAAUUAUUUAAAUGAAUAUAAAUUUUAAAUAUUUAUUGAAGGUGGAUUUAAUAGUAAAAUUUUAAAGAUAAAUAAUUUGAUUUUAGCUCUAAAAUAUGUACAUAUCGCCCGUCACUCUUAUUAUUUAAGGUAAGAUAAGUCGUAACAUAGUAGAUGUACUGGAAAGUGUAUCUAGAAUGCAAUUUAAAGCUUAUAUAGUAAAGUAUUUCAUUUACAUUGAAUAGAUUUUUGUGCAAAUCAAUAUAAAUUGAUUAUUAUUAUUUAUUAUUAUAGAUUUUAUUUAUUAAUUUUAUUUAUUUAUAAUUUUAAUUUAUUAAAAAUAAUUAUAAAUUUAUUAUGUUUGUUUUAGUAUAUUUUAUAAAAAAAAUAAUUUUUAUUAUAGUUUAUUAGUAUUGUGAAAGAAUAUUGAAAUAUUUUGAAAAAUUUUGUUAAAAAGAAAA